UAGUAGCAAGUUGUUCAACUUCCC
rnacentral:snRNA from 1 species